rnacentral:rRNA from 1 species
GGGGAAUAUUGGGCAAUGGGCGCAAGCCUGACCCAGCAACGCCGCGUGAAGGAAGAAGGCUUUCGGGUUGUAAACUUCUUUUGUCAGGGACGAGUAGAAGACGGUACCUGACGAAUAAGCCACGGCUAACUACGUGCCAGCAGCCGCGGUAAUACGUAGGUGGCAAGCGUUGUCCGGAUUUACUGGGUGUAAAGGGCGUGUAGCCGGGAGGGCAAGUCAGAUGUGAAAUCCACGGGCUCAACUCGAGAACUGCAUUUGAAACUACUCUGCUUGAGUAUAGGAGAGGCAAUCGGAAUUCCUAGUGUAGCGGUGAAAUGCGUAGAUAUUAGGAGGAACACCAGUGGCGAAGGCGGAUUGCUGGACGACAACUGACGGUGAGGCGCGAAAGCGUGGGGAGCAAAC